rnacentral:hammerhead_ribozyme from 1 species
AUCCAGCUGAUGAAUCCCAAAUAGGACGAAACGUGCGUCCUAGAU